rnacentral:piRNA from 1 species
UUGAACUUCCAGUUUUUAAGUGCCAUUAGCCU